AGUGAACGCUGGCGGUAGGCCUAACACAUGCAAGUCGAACGGCAGCACAGUAAGAGCUUGCUCUUACGGGUGGCGAGUGGCGGACGGGUGAGGAAUACAUCGGAUUCUACUUUUUCGUGGGGGAUAACGUAGGGAAACUUACGCUAAUACCGCAUACGACCUACGGGUGAAAGCAGGGGAUCUUCUGACCUUGCGCGAUUGUAUGAGCCGAUGUCGGAUUCGCUAGGUGGCGGGGUAAAGGCCCACCAAGGCGACGAUGCGUAGCUGGUCUGAGAGGAUGAUCAGCCACAUGGGAACUGAGACACGUCCCAGACUCCUACGGUAGGCCGCAGUGGGGAAUAUUGGACAAGGGGGGAGAGCCUGAUCCAGCCAUACCGCGUGGGGGAAGAAGGCCUUCGGGUGGGAAAGCCCUGUUGUUGGGAAAGAAAAGCAGCAGUUUAAUACGCCGUGAUUCUGACGGUACCCAAAGAAUAAGCACCGGCUAACUUCGUG
rnacentral:rRNA from 1 species